rnacentral:sRNA from 1 species
UUUUGGAAGCCAUCUUCGUGUUCCUUGUGAACUCAGGAACACAUCCAUACCAUUUUUAGAACGUGAAUCCUUCGAAAACCCGAGAACCCAAAAAUCCCAGAUUUGAGCACUGUUCAUGCAGUCGUGAUCAUGGAAGUUUCAGUGAAUUUUAAGGUUCUACUUUAGGACGUCUUCAAGAAGCUCGGGGAAGAAAGUUGGAGUGUUUUGGACGUCGGGAAAUCCCAGUUCACAAGUUUCAAGUUUUGGCCAGAUUAUCGAUGUUUCUCCGACGAGAUUCGGUGGAUUUUAGGGCUUAAAAUUGAAACUGGCGAUCGCAGCGGCACCGACGAUGGUCUCCGACAAACCAAGGAAGACGAAGGGGAACAUUCCGUCAAGUUUGAUGGAAUAUUCUAACGGCGUUAGGUGAGACCUAUCCGAAGGACGAGCACCAUCAAUCGAGGCUCGAGGGCUACGACCCUUCGACAUACCAGUGAGU